UAAUAAGUGUUUUAUGGCACUUUUUAAAUCCAUAUCCACCUUGUGUGCAAUGUCAGUCGAUCUUCUUAUUUGAGGAUCGACCAAACAUCAACCUUUAUUUUUAACUCUUUGUCUGAAAAAUAUUAUGAAUAAACAAUUCAAAAUA
rnacentral:misc_RNA from 1 species